UACGUAGGGGGCAAGCGUUGUCCGGAUUUAUUGGGCGUAAAGAGCGUGUAGGCGGUUUGGUAGGUCCGUUGUGAAAACUCGAGGCUCAACCUCGAGACGCCGAUGGAAACCAUCAGACUAGAGUCCGGAAGAGGAGAGUGGAAUUCCUGGUGUAGCGGUGAAAUGCGCAGAUAUCAGGAAGAACACCCGUGGCUAAGGCGGCUCUCUAGGACGGUACUGACGCUGAGACGCGAAAGCGUGGGGAGCGAACAGG
rnacentral:rRNA from 1 species